GUUUCCUACGGGGGGCAGCAGUGAGGAAUAUUGGUCAAUGGGCGGAAGCCUGAACCAGCCAAGUCGCGUGAGGGAAUAAGGCCCUACGGGUCGUAAACCUCUUUUGCCGGGGAGCAAGGGCCGGGACGCGUCCCGGCCCGGAGAGUACCCGGAGAAAAAGCAUCGGCUAACUACGUGCCAGCAGCCGCGGUAAUACGUAGGUGGCAAGCGUUGUCCGGAAUUACUGGGUGUAAAGGGAGCGCAGGCGGGAAGCCAAGUCAGCUGUGAAAACUACGGGCUUAACUUGUAGACUGCAGUUGAAACUG
rnacentral:rRNA from 1 species